UACGAAGGGGGCUAGCGUUGCUCGGAAUGACUGGGCGUAAAGGGCGCGUAGGCGGAUGGUACAGUCAGAUGUGAAAUUCCCGGGCUUAACCUGGGGGCUGCAUUUGAUACGUAUUGUCUUGAGUUCGGAAGAGGGUCGUGGAAUUUCCAGUGUAGAGGUGAAAUGCGUAGAUAUUGGAAAGAACACCGGUGGCGAAGGCGGCGACCUGGUCCGACACUGACGCUGAGGCGCGAAAGCGUGGGGAGCAAACAGG
rnacentral:rRNA from 1 species